UACGGGGGGAGCAAGCGUUGUUCGGAUUUACUGGGCGUAAAGGGCGCGUAGGCGGCGCAACAAGUCACUUGUGAAAUCUCCGGGCUUAACCCGGAGCGGUCAAGUGAUACUGUCGUGCUAGAGUGCGGAAGGGGCUACUGGAAUUCUCGGUGUAGCGGUGAAAUGCGUAGAUAUCGAGAGGAACACCUGCGGCGAAGGCGGGUUGCUGGGCAGUAGCUGACGCUGAUGCGCGACAGCGUGGGGAGCAAACAGG
rnacentral:rRNA from 1 species